AACAAACUACACAUAACACAAGAACGCUCUGUUUAAAACGGACAGCUCGGUACACUAAACUCCUGCUAUGCGCACGGGGUCCACAAAAGGGCCAACCCACAAAGGUCCAUUGUACACAAACUUGCAUUACAUUUCUAAAGGAAACUAUUUCCACAGCUUGAACCCAUAACCUCUAUGACAUUAACAAUUUUUUAAUAUUUCACUUGAAACCAAAUCAACCAUCCAACACGUGAUAAAAGGAACACUCGUAUAAAAAGGAUAACUCGGUUCACUAAGCACCUGCUAUGCGCGGGGUCCACAAAAGAACCGUACCACAAAGAUCUAUUAUAUGCAGACUUACCCUGCAUUUCUGUAAGAGUCUGCUUCUUGCAGCUCAAACCUGUAACCUCCACAACAUUAACAAUUCCAAGUAAAAAUUUUUUUUGUGUUUCACUUGAAACCAAAUCAAAUAAAACAACACAUAGUACAAGGAACACUUGUAUAAAAAUGACAGCUCGGUACACUAAGCUACUGCUGUGUGUGGGGUCCACAUAAGGGCGGGACCACAAAGGUCUCUAUUAUACACAGAUUUACCCUGCAUUUCUGCACGUAAAUGCCACAACAUUAACAAUUCCAUAUAACAAUUUUUUUUUGUGUUUCACGUGAAACCAAAUCAAACAAACAACACAUACUACAAGGAACACUCGUAUAAAAAUGGAGCUCGGUACACUAAGCUACUGCAAUGUAUGGGGCCCACAUAAGGCCGAACCACAAAGGUCUAUUAUACACAGACUUACCCGGCAUUUCUGCACGUAUAUGCCACAACAUCAACAAUUCCAAGUAACAAAUUUUUUUGUGUAAUAUAAUUGAAACUAAAUCACAAAGAAAAAUGAAUAAUUAAAAAAAUAUGAGCAAACACAGCAUAAAUAAUCAAAUUUACUAAGAAGAAAAAAAUUGUGCAUUUUACUACAUAAGUAAAUUAUUGAAUAGAGAGAAAU
rnacentral:lncRNA from 1 species